AUUGAACGCUGGCGGCAGGCCUAACACAUGCAAGUCGAACGGUAACAGAAAGCAGCUUGCUGCUUUGCUGACGAGUGGCGGACGGGUGAGGAAUGUCUGGGAAACCGCCUGAUGGAGGGGGAUAACUACUGGAAACGGUAGCUAAUACCGCAUAACGUCGCAAGACCAAAGAGGGGGACCUUCGGGCCUCUUGCCAUCGGAUGUGCCCCGAUGGGAUUAGCUAGUAGGUGGGGUAAAGGCUCACCUAGGCGACGAUCCCUAGCUGGUCUGAGAGGAUGACCAGCCACACUGGAACUGAGACACGGUCCAGACUCCUACGGGAGGCAGCAGUGUGGAAUAUUGCACAAUGGGCGCAAGCCUGAUGCAGCCAUGCCGCGUGUAUGAAGAAGGCCUGCGGGUUGUGAAGUACUUUGAGCGGGGAGGAAGGGAGUAAAGUUAAUACCUUUGCUCAUUGACGUUACUCGCAGAAGAAGCACCGGCUAACUCCGUG
rnacentral:rRNA from 1 species